UACGAAGGGGGCGAGCGUUGUUCGGAAUUACUGGGCGUAAAGGGCGCGCAGGCGGCUCUUCACGUUCGUUGUGAAAUCGCCCGGCUCAACUGGGCGGGGUCAGCGGAUACGGCAGAGCUUGAGCAAGCUAGGGGGCAAUGGAAUUCCCGGUGUAGUGGUGGAAUGCGUAGAUAUCGGGAGGAACACCAGUGGCGAAGGCGGCGAUCUGGGCAGAUACUGACGCUGAGGUGCGAAAGCGUGGGGAGCAAACAGG
rnacentral:rRNA from 1 species